UCGGCAAUGGAGGAAACUCUGACCGAGCAACGCCGCGUGAACGAUGAAAUAUUUAGGUAUGUAAAGUUCUUUUAUUAAAGAAGAAAAAAUGAUGGAAAAAUCAUUCUGACGGUAUUUAAUGAAUAAGCCCCGGCUAACUAUGUGCCAGCAGCUGCGGUAAUACAUGGGGGGCAAGCGUUAUCCGGAUUUAUUGGGCGUAAAGGGUGUGUAGGCGGUUUAAUAAGUCUAUGGUAUAAGUUCAACGCUUAACGUUGUGAUGCUAUGGAAACUGUUUGACUAGAGUUGGAUAGAGGCAAGUGGAAUUCCAUGUGUAGCGGUAAAAUGCGUAAAUAUAUGGAGGAACACCAGUAGCGAAGGCGGCUUGCUGGGUCUUAACUGACGCUGAGGCACGAAAGCGUGGGGAGCAAACAGGAUUAGAUACCCUGGUAGUCCACGCCGUAAACGAUGAGUACUAAGUGUUGGGUUAAACCAGUGCUGAAGUUAACACAUUAAGUACUCCGCCUGAGUAGUACGUACGCAAGUAUGAAACUUAAAGGAAUUGACGGGACUCCGCACAAGCGGUGGAUCAUGUUGUUUAAUUCGAAGAUACACGAAAAACCUUACCAGGUCUUGACAUACUCUGCAAAGCUAUAGAAAUAUAGUGGAGGUUAUCAGGGAUACAGGUGGUGCAUGGUUGUCGUCAGCUCGUGUCGUGAGAUGUUGGGUUAAGUCCCGCAACGAGCGCAACCCUUAUCGCUAGUUACCAUCAUUUAGUUGGGCACUUUAGUGAGACUGCCAAUGAUAAAUUGGAGGAAGGUGGGGAUUACGUCAAAUCAUCAUGCCCCUUAUGACCUGGGCUACAAACGUGAUACAAUGGCUGUUACAAAGAGUAGCUGAA
rnacentral:rRNA from 1 species